rnacentral:rRNA from 1 species
UACGGGGGGUGCGAGCGUUGUCCGGAAUCACUGGGCGUAAAGGGCGCGUAGGCGGCCUUCUAAGUCGAACGUGAAAUCCCUGGGCUCAACCCAGGAACUGCGUCCGAUACUGGGAGGCUUGAAUCCGGGAGAGGGAUGCGGAAUUCCAGGUGUAGCGGUGAAAUGCGUAGAUAUCUGGAGGAACACCGGUGGCGAAGGCGGCAUCCUGGACCGGUAUUGACGCUGAGGCGCGAAAGCCAGGGGAGCGAACGGG